rnacentral:rRNA from 1 species
GACGAACGCUGGCGGCGUGCCUAAUACAUGCAAGUCGAACGAAGCUGUUUUAACUGGUGCUUGCACCGACUUAAACAACUGAGUGGCGAACGGGUGAGUAACACGUGGGUAACCUGCCCCAAAGCGGGGGAUAACAUUUGGAAACAGAUGCUAAUACCGCAUAACCACAGAAACCACAUGGUUUCUGUGUCAAAGAUGGUUUCGGCUAUCACUUUGGGAUGGACCGCGGCGUAUUAGCUAGUUGGUAAGGUAAUGGCUUACCAAGGCAAUGAUACGUAGACGAACUGAGAGGUUGAUCGGCCACAUUGGGACUGAGACACGGCCCAAACUCCUACGGGAGGCAGCAGUAGGGAAUCUUCCACAAUGGACGAAAGUCUGAUGGAGCAACGCCGCGUGAGUGAAGAAGGUUUUCGGAUCGUAAAACUCUGUUGUCAGAGAAGAACGUGUGCGAGAGUAACUGUUCGUGCAGUGACGGUAUCUGGCCAGAAAGCCACGGCUAACUACGUGCCAGCCGCCGCAGUAA